UACGGGGGGGGCAAGCGUUGUUCGGAAUUACUGGGCGUAAGGGCUCGUAGGUGGCCAACUAAGUCGGACGUGAAAUCCCUCGGCUUAACCGGGGAACUGCGUCCGAUACUGGUUGGCUUGAGUUUGGGAGAGGGAUGCGGAAUUCCAGGUGUAGCGGUGAAAUGCGUAGAUAUCUGGAGGAACACCGGUGGCGAAGGCGGCAUCCUGGACCAAUACUGACGCUGAGGAGCGAAAGCGUGGGGAGCGAACAGG
rnacentral:rRNA from 1 species